rnacentral:ncRNA from 1 species
GCAGAGUAGGAAUGAAAGCGUUAAGUGCCCAGUGUACAGGGAGUUGACAUUGGGACGAAAGGUGGCCUUGCCGCUUGCGGUUUUUGUUCCGCAUCCCGCUGC